UACGAAGGGGGCUAGCGUUGCUCGGAAUCACUGGGCGUAAAGGGUGCGUAGGCGGGUCUUUAAGUCAGGGGUGAAAUCCUGGAGCUCAACUCCAGAACUGCCUUUGAUACUGAGGAUCUUGAGUUCGGGAGAGGUGAGUGGAACUGCGAGUGUAGAGGUGAAAUUCGUAGAUAUUCGCAAGAACACCAGUGGCGAAGGCGGCUCACUGGCCCGUAACUGAUGCUGAGGCACGAAAGCGUGGGGAGCAAACAGG
rnacentral:rRNA from 1 species